rnacentral:rRNA from 1 species
UACGUAGGGUGCGAGCGUUGUCCGGAAUUAUUGGGCGUAAAGAGCUCGUAGGCGGCUUGUCGCGUCGACUGUGAAAACCCGUGGCUCAACCAUGCGGUCUGCAGUCGAUACGGGCAGGCUAGAAUUCGGUAGGGGAGACUGGAAUUCCUGGUGUAGCGGUGAAAUGCGCAGAUAUCAGGAGGAACACCGGUGGCGAAGGCGGGUCUCUGGGCCGAUAUUGACGCUGAGGAGCGAAAGCGUGGGGAGCGAGCAGG